UCGCAACAGAAGGUACUAUGUUUAUAAUAUCAACUCCUUUUUCACCUGCCCAAAGCUGUGUGGUUCCAGAUCCCUUUGGGGGUCAAAUAUCAGCUAUUAACAUUAUGACUUGUAACAGUAGACCUUCAGCUCCCGACAUAUUGGAUCUACUGAGCAUCCCACCAUCAUCUGCCCUUGCAGUUUUUGCCAUCCUCCCAGGACACUCUCCUAUUUCACUGAAGACUGUGGUGCCUUCCAGAUGACAGAAUUCCCAACAACCCUUUCCUGUCAUCAUUCCUGGUGACUUUGGUGAUUUUGACAUUUCCAUCAGGAACCCCUUUAUACAAGGGAAUCUAGAAUGUUUACUGUUUCUAAUAUCUGGAUAAAGGUGCUAGGGUUUGGGUCUUGAAUGUAAACCUCUGUGGGUCCAUGUGUUGGAGACCUAUCUCCAGAGUGGUGCUAGUGGAAGGGGGUAGAAUUUUUAGAUGCAGGGUGGGAGGUUUUAAGAUCAUUGAAGGUGUGUCUUCAGAGGCGAU
rnacentral:lncRNA from 1 species